CCUUGUACACACCGCCCGUCACACCACGAAAGUGAGUUGGACCAGAAGUCGCCUAAGCCAACCCGUAAGGGGGGCUGGUGCCGAAGGUCUGGCUCGUGAUUGGGGUG
rnacentral:rRNA from 1 species